rnacentral:lncRNA from 1 species
CUGUACUCUGGCCUCGGUCUAAAGUGCUGCUCUGUGGCAGCAAAUAGCUGCUCGAUACCUGGACCUUUGUUUGGAUUGUUUCUGGCCGGUUCGUCACCGAGUUCGACGUCUAGGGGGUCCACCAUUACAGUUGUUGGAACGGUGCACCAGUUCUGGUGUCUGAAGUCACAGGGAAGAUUCUCAAAUCGUGCUCUUGCCGAUCUUGAGUAGGGUCUACUACAGGCUGAGGAAGCAUCAUAUCCAAAGUUUCCCGAACUGCCACCUCUGAAGCUUUGACAUCUACUCAACUGCAAUUUAAGAACCUGAAAAGCCAAGACCCUAGAGAUAUACACAGUACAGGCUUAGCAACAGAACCAGCUGCAUCCGUGUAGGGUAUGACUUUUUAAUGGGAAGCCGGUGGCUCGGUAACUACGGGGAUGCACGUUCAAUCAGGCCCACAACUGCAGGCGUACUAACACGUUUUCAUGAGUACCUAACUUGAAUAGGUGUUCUUUGAAGCGGAAGUCAAGCAACACUUUCACCUCGAAGGUGGUCAGGCAGAAGGCUGUCUGAUUAGGGAUUAGGAGCAAUGUACCCAAGAAAAACACGUUGGUCACAGUGACGUCAAACCAACGUCUACUCGAUGGUUCAAAACGAACAGCGAAAUCACAUACUAAACAGAUUUACAGCAGCCACUCACUAGCAGCGGAUCUGAUAGGUUCGUGACCCACCAGCCCACUUAUUGAGCCUGGAAAAAGUCUAAAGCCUGGAACUUGAAAGAAGUAAUAAAAAUCUAAACUACAGACAUCUUGCAGAAAAUGGGUCACACCGUUGAACUAAUACCAACAAAACUAUGGGAUCGCGUAGAAAUCAACAUUUGCGGAAGGAUAAUACAUCGAAUGAAAUUAACGGACUUGAAAAUAAACCCGAGAAGUAUAGAAGAUGAUACGUUUGGUCAUCACGCAAUUAACGCUGUCGUGCAGGCUCUGACGAGAAUAACAAAUGCACAACUUCGAAAGGAUCUGACUUAUGAGAGGAUAUUAUGAAGUGAAAUAAAACAAUAAUUUUUCUUAAGGUUUGACUGAUUUCUACCCGUUAUGUAACUCUCACAUGCUAAGAUAGUCUAUAUUGUGUUAGUGAAAAGUCGGGCUGUC